rnacentral:rRNA from 1 species
AUUGAACGCUGGCGGCAUGCCUUACACGUGCAAGUCGAACGGCAGCACGGGUGCUUGCACCUGGUGGCGAGUGGCGAACGGGUGAGUAAUACAUCGGAACAUGUCCUGUAGUGGGGGAUAGCCCGGCGAAAGCCGGAUUAAUACCGCAUACGGUCCACGGAUGAAAGCGGGGGACCUUCGGGCCUCGCGCUAUAGGGUUGGCCGAUGGCUGAUUAGCUAGUUGGUGGGGUAAAGGCCUACCAAGGCGACGAUCAGUAGCUGGUCUGAGAGGACGACCAGCCACACUGGGACUGAGACACGGCCCAGACUCCUACGGGAGGCAGCAGUGGGGAAUUUUGGACAAUGGGCGAAAGCCUGAUCCAGCAAUGCCGCGUGUGUGAAGAAGGCCUUCGGGUUGUAAAGCACUUUUGUCCGGAAAGAAAUCCUUGGCUCUAAUACAGUCGGGGGAUGACGGUACCGGAAGAAUAAGCACCGGCUAACUACGUG